CCUACGGGUGGCAGCAGUAGGGAAUUUUCGUCAAUGGGCGCAAGCCUGAACGAGCAAUGCCGCGUGAACGAGGAAGGUCCUCGGAUCGUUAAGUUCUGUUGAAGUGGUAAUAGAGCGGUGAGAGGAAAUGAUCUUUUAUUUAUAUUACGCUUCGAGGACGUCACGGCUAAUUACGUGCCAGCAGCCGCGGUAAUACGUAGGUGGCGAGCGUUAUCCGGAUUGAUUGGGCGUAAAGGGAGCGUAGGCGGCCUGCUAAGUCUAGAGUGAAAGGUACCGGCUCAACCGGUACAGGUUCGGGAAACUUGCGGGCAAGAGAGAAGGAAGGGGCGGUGGAACUCCGUGUGUAGCGGUAAAAUGCGUAGAUAUAUGCGAGAAAACCAGUGGCGAAAGCGGGCGCCUGGCCUGUUGACUGACGCUGAGGCACGAAAGCGUGGGGAGCAAAUAGGAUUAGAUACCCUAGUAGUC
rnacentral:rRNA from 1 species